rnacentral:rRNA from 1 species
UUUUAUUGAGAGUUUGAUCCUGGCUCAGGACGAACGCUGGCGGCGUGCCUAACACAUGCAAGUCGAGCGAUGAAGCUUUUUCGGAAGCGGAUUAGCGGCGGACGGGUGAGUAACACGUGGGCAACCUGCCUCAUAGAGAGGGAUAGCCUUUCGAAAGGAAGAUUAAUACCUCAUAAGAUUGUAGUUUCGCAUGAAACGGCAAUAAAAGGAGCAAUCCGCUAUGAGAUGGGCCCGCGUCGCAUUAGCUAGUUGGUAAGGUAAUGGCUUACCAAGGCGACGAUGCGUAGCCGACCUGAGAGGGUGAUCGGCCACAUUGGGACUGAGACACGGCCCAGACUC